rnacentral:rRNA from 1 species
UACGAAGGGGGCUAGCGUUGCUCGGAAUCACUGGGCGUAAAGCGCACGUAGGCGGAUUGCUAAGUCAGGGGUGAAAUCCUGGAGCUCAACUCCAGAACUGCCUUUGAUACUGGCGAUCUCGAGUCCGGGAGAGGUGAGUGGAACUGCGAGUGUAGAGGUGAAAUUCGUAGAUAUUCGCAAGAACACCAGUGGCGAAGGCGGCUCUCUAGUACGGUACUGACGCUGAGACGCGAAAGCGUGGGGAGCGAACAGG